AAAAAGGAAUCAACUUUUUGAAUAAAAAUGAAAAAAUUGGUGUCAAUUUCGUUGAGUAUUUGGAUGUAGACCGAGAAAAACAGAAAUGGACUCAUGAGGAUGUAAGAAUGCUCUUUAACAAGAAGUAUAGUGAAGCAAAAGGUGUGACUGGUUCUCGC